rnacentral:rRNA from 1 species
AUUGAACGCUGGCGGCAGGCCUAACACAUGCAAGUCGAACGGUAACAGGAAGAAGCUUGCUUCUUUGCUGACGAGUGGCGGACGGGUGAGUAAUGUCUGGGAAACUGCCUGAUGGAGGGGGAUAACUACUGGAAACGGUAGCUAAUACCGCAUAACGUCGCAAGACCAAAGAGGGGGACCUUCGGGCCUCUUGCCAUCGGAUGUGCCCAGAUGGGAUUAGCUAGUAGGUGGGGUAACGGCUCACCUAGGCGACGAUCCCUAGCUGGUCUGAGAGGAUGACCAGCCACACUGGAACUGAGACACGGUCCAGACUCCUACGGGAGGCAGCAGUGGGGAAUAUUGCACAAUGGGCGCAAGCCUGAUGCAGCCAUGCCGCGUGUAUGAAGAAGGCCUUCGGGUUGUAAAGUACUUUCAGCGGGGAGGAAGGGAGUAAAGUUAAUACCUUGCUCAUUGACGUUACCCGCAGAAGAAGCACCGGCUAACUCCGUG